rnacentral:rRNA from 1 species
GACGAACGCUGGCGGCGUGCUUAACACAUGCAAGUCGAACGGAAAGGCCCAGCUUGCUGGGUACUCGAGUGGCGAACGGGUGAGUAACACGUGGGUGAUCUGCCCCUUACUUUUGGAUAAGCCUGGGAAACUGUGUCUAAUACCGGAUAUGACCUUACAUCGCAUGGUGUUUGGUGGAAAGCUUUUGCGGUUGGGGAUGGGCCCGCGGCCUAUCAGCUUGUUUGUGGGGUAAUGGCCUACCAAGGCGACGACGGGUAGCCGACCUGAGAGGGUGAUCGGCCAAACUGGGACUGAGAGACGGCACAGAAUCCUACGGGAGGCAGCAGUGGGGAAUAUUGCACAAUGGGCGCAAGCCUGAUGCAGCGAAGCCGCGUGAGGGAUGACGGCCUUCGGGUUGUAAACAUAUUUAACCAGGGAAGAAGAGUGAGUGACGGUACCUGGAGAAGAAGCACCGGCCAACUACGUG